UAGUGCCUACGGGGCGCAGCAGUAGGGAAUCUUCCACAAUGGACGAAAGUCUGAUGGAGCAACGCCGCGUGAGUGAAGAAGGGUUUCGGCUCGUAAAGCUCUGUUGGUAGUGAAGAAAGAUAGAGGUAGUAACUGGCCUUUAUUUGACGGUAAUUACUUAGAAAGUCACGGCUAACUACGUGCCAGCAGCCGCGGUAAUACGUAGGUGGCAAACGUUGUCCGGAUUUAUUGGGCGUCAAGCG
rnacentral:rRNA from 1 species